UUCGCAGGCGUUCCGCAAGCUUUCGAAAGGAACUGGAAGGUAAGAAGAGAGGAAACAAAUAGGACAAAAAAGAAAAAUCAAUUUAAGAAAUUCCUUCAUCUGGGACUAGGAUGGACACCAUUCAGAGCACUUGUAGGGGCGGUGAAGGGGGCUGGCAUGGCAGAGAAGACCCCACAGCAAAGCACAUGUUUUCUGCAUAGAACAGAAGUGGGGAGUCUGAGGGCCGCACAACUUUCUCAGCAACCUCCCAGGGGCCACACGCUAGAAGUUGGCAGGGCCAGAAGUCAAAGCAGGGUGAGCAAUGAAUGUCAACUUUACCUUUGUAUCUGUACACACUUCACAUGCCUCUCCAUCUUCCAUCCAAGCGGGCAAGAAGCAUCAUCAGAAUUGAGGGGCCUACAGAUCACAAAAUUUAAGGUGAGUCCUAAAUAUAUAUACUAUGUCUUCGAAUGUUCCUCUGUGGGUCACCCUAACCAAGAUAGACUGAAGGAAGAAAGAGCUGGGCUGUGAGGACUCUGAAACAAUUUCGGAGCAUGUUGGCUGUUCUCUGUGAAGAUCUAAUAGUGGAUUUGGGGUGCCUGCUGGGGUAUUUAAUGCUGUUCUUCCACCUACGCUCAACCUAUAAAUUUGGAAAUAAACACAAAUACAGUGUUACCUUGGUUCUCAAACCUAGUCCAUUCCAAAACCAAAGCAUUCCAAAACCAAGGUGCGCUUUCCCAUAGAAAGUAAUGCAAAAUGGAUUAAUCCGUUCCAGACUUUUAAAAACAACCCCUAAAACAGCAAUUUAACAUGAAUUUUACUAUCUAACGAGACCAUUGGUCCAUUAAAUGAAAGCAAUAAACAAUGUACUGCAGUCACACAAUCAAUCAAUCGGUAGGUGAACUGGGUUCCACACAGUCACCACAACAAAACAAAAAGAGCCACAAAAACAAGAAAAACGCAAAAUGAAUAGCAAAAAAAGAGAGCUCAGUGUAGCCCUCAAAACAUAAGCGUGACACUCAAAUCGGAAGCAUAACACUCAAAACGGAGCACGUUCGGCUUCCGAAAAAGGUUCGCAAACUGGAACACUUACUUCCGGGUUUGCAGUGUUUGCGUUCCAAAUUGUUUGAAUACCAAGGCGUUUGAGAACCAAGGUACCACUGUAUUGCAAACUGGUGUAAGUCUCCAUGCGACCUCCAGAGUGGAACAUCUUACAUUAUUUAUACAGUGGUACCUCGGUUUUUGAGCAUCUCGGAAGCUGAACGUUUUGGUUUCUGAACGCCGAAAAACCGGAAGUAAUUGCUUCCAUUUUUCAAUGCUUUUCGGAAGUCAAACUGCUUCCGCUGAGUCCCCCCCCCCCCCCAAAUUUUCUCCAUUGAAACUGCAGACCGCCCUUUGCAUCUCAGUUUUCGAACGUUUCAGAAGUUGAACGGUCUUCCGGAAUGGAUUACAUUUGAAAACCAAAAAACCCUGGGAACUGCAUCUUGCGGUCAGUCACUGAAAAUUCUCCACUAGCAAACUUUGUUGUUGCAAAAUUCACUCCGUAUCAUAGUACAUGCUCUCCCCGAAUAAUAUUGGGAGCUGUAUUUGUUAAGGGUGCUGAGAGCUGUUAGUAGGCAACCCCUCACAAAAUUCACCAGGAAGAGGGACUGGUGGUUAAAUCACCAUGGCCGUGACACUUAUAAGUGUUACAACAGUUUUUUAAACUUACGGUGCAGAGGUGCCCUCUAGUCUAUACCAUUUUAUUUUUUUUUAAUCCCUCUUACAUAUAAAACUGCAUUACGGGCCGAAGGGCAGUAGCCUCGCCGCCCCCACAGACAUGCUAAUUUAAUUAGUGAGGGGUUGUACGUGUGUGCAUUCUGGUACUGCUGAGCAACCAGUUUUCAUAAGUCCUCCUCUACAGCCUGAAAAUGGCCCAGUCUGGUUGCUUGCGAAAAGGCUAGGCCUCCGGUUUAGUGCAGUGCAGACAAUACAUGGGUGUAAUUACAUGACUGCACUUUGGCUGGCGGUGCCCUGGCCAUAAUCACAGGUGGGUCGCACCCUCCCUCCCUCCCUCUCCCUCUCUUGCUUCAAAAGUCAACGGCCUGGAGAGGCGGGGAUGGGUUGUAACCGCACCUGAGCGGCGGAGGAGACGUCAAAGAGCUGAACCUUCCAGCCCUUGGAGACUUGCCAAGCCUUGCGCAGCCCCACAAAGCACAGUGCACUUGUUCCUGCAGGCAGGCAGGCAGGCAGGCAGGCGGGCCAAGAUGAGCCAAUGCAAACAGCCUCUUUUCAAUAUCCCUUCUGAUCCACCCUGACCCCCCCCUUUGCCCACGGCAACUUGGACGGCAGUGCCCCGCCCCGGUUUGCUUUUCAUGUCGGGCGAUGAAUAAAUUUCCUCCUGAAAAGGAAAGUCGACGCUGUGUCCAGAACGCACGGCCCUGGAACCGGCGUGAGUCACUUCCCUUCUCUGGCUGGAUGUGGCCCGGACCUUGCCCAGGACAGGACGUGCCUGAGCUUAUCAUCAGCCAGGACUCGUCACCUUCCUUUCCACUCCCCGAACCACCCUGCAGAGAGUGCUAAUCCUAGAGAUCUGGGGUUGGCAUUUGUCUUUGGAGUCGCUGGUUCAGCAGCCACUAAGGAGCAAAAGGCUUCACUGGGCUGGUUUUGGAACACCGGGCAAGAGUGCCUCUGAGCUUGUGCAGAGUGCACGCCCCUCCCCUGCCCAGCCAGUCUUAUCCAGUCACCAAAGCCUGCCUCCCUCCUUGCAAAGAGACUUGUCAGAUUCUCUUAAAGGACUGUCUCCGAGAAUGACUGUGAGAACAGUCGUUUAAUCUAUGCUGUGUUACUUUUUGUUUUGUUUUUUAAUAAAUAAUUUUUAUUGAAUGAUUUUAUGUUACAAAAAAACAUUACAACCAUUUGUUGUUGUUGUUGUUUAGUCGUUUAGUCGUGUCCGACUCUUCGUGACCCCAUGGACCAGAGCACGCCAGGCAC
rnacentral:lncRNA from 1 species